GAUGAAGAACGCAGCGAAAUACGAUAAGUAAUGUGAAUUGCAGAAUUCAGUGAAUCAUCGAAUCUUUGAACGCACAUUGCGCCCGCCAGUAUUCUGGCGGGCAUGCCUGUUCGAGCGUCAUUACAACCCUCAGGCCCCCGGGCCUGGCGUUGGGGAUCGGCGGAGCCCCCCGUGGGCACACGCCGUCCCCCAAAUGCAGUGGCGGUCCCGCCGCAGCUUCCAUCGCGUAGUAGCUAACACCUCGCGACUGGAGAGCGGCGCGGCCACGCCGUAAAACACCCAACUCUUCUGAAGUUGACCUCGAAUCAGGUAGGAAUACCCGCUGAACUUAAGCAUAUCAAUAAGCGGAGGA
rnacentral:misc_RNA from 1 species